rnacentral:rRNA from 1 species
AUUGAACGCUGGCGGCAGGCCUAACACAUGCAAGUCGAGCGAGUGGCGGACGGGUGAGUAAUGCAUGGGAAUCUGGCCGAUGGAGGGGGAUAACUACUGGAAACGGUAGCUAAUACCGCGUACUAUAGGAUGAACCCAUAUGGGAUUAGGUAGUAGGUGGGGUAAAGGCUCACCUAGGCGACGAUCUCUAGCUGGUCUGAGAGGAUGAUCAACCCCACGGGGACUGAGACACGGCCCAGACUCCUACGGGAGGCAGCGGUAGGGAAUCUUGCGCAAUGGGCGAAAGCCGGACCCAGCAAUGCCGCGUGAGUGAAGAAGGUCUUCGGAUCGUAAAACUCUUUCGUUAGAGAGGCGGUAUCUACACAGAAAGCCACGGCUAACUACGUGCCAGCAGCCGCGGUAAUUC